rnacentral:rRNA from 1 species
GAGAGUUUGAUCCUGGCUCAGAAUGAACGCUGGCGGCGUGCUUAACACAUGCAAGUCGAACGAUGAAACUUAGUUUACUAAGUGGAUUAGUGGCGCACGGGUGAGUAAUAUAUAGGUAACGUGCCUCUUAGUCUGGGAUAGCCAUUGGAAACGAUGAUUAAUACUGGAUACUCCUUCUAACUCUAAUGUUAGUUGGGAAAGUUUUUCGCUAAGAGAUCGGCCUAUUUCCCAUCAGGUAGUUGGUAGUGUAAGAGACUACCAAGCCUAUGACGGGUAGCGGGUUUGAGAGGAUGAUCCGCCACACUGGUACUGAGACACGGACCAGACUCCUACGGGAGGCAGCAGUGAGGAAUAUUGCACAAUGGACGAAAGUCUGAUGCAGCAACGCCGCGUGGAGGAUGACACAUUUCGGUGCGUAAACUCCUUUUAUAUAGGAAGAUAAUGACGGUACUAUAUGAAUAAGCACCGGCUAACUCCGUGCCAGCAGCCGCGGUAAUACGGAGGGUGCAAGCGUUACUCGGAAUCACUGGGCGUAAAGAGAAUGUAGGCGGGUAGAUAAGUCAGAAGUGAAAUCCAAUAGCUCAACUAUUGAACUGCUUUUGAAACUGUUUACCUAGAAUAUGGGAGAGGUAGAUGGAAUUUCUGGUUAGGGGUAAAAUCCGUAGAGAUCAGAAGGAAUACCGAUUGCGAAGGCGAUCUACUGGAACAUUAUUGACGCUGAGAUGCGAAAGCGUGGGGAGCAAACAGGAUUAGAUACCCUGGUAGUCCACGCCCUAAACGAUGCACACUAGUUGUUGCGAGGCUAGACAUUGCAGUAAUGCAGUUAACACAUUAAGUGUGCCGCCUGGGGAGUACGGUCGCAAGAUUAAAACUCAAAGGAAUAGACGGGGACCCGCACAAGCGGUGGAGCAUGUGGUUUAAUUCGACUAUACGCGAAGAACCUUACCUGGACUUGACAUAGAAAGAAUUUAGCAGAGAUGUAAAAGUGCUGGUUUACCAGAGCUUUCAUACAGGUGCUGCACGGCUGUCGUCAGCUCGUGUCGUGAGAUGUUGGGUUAAGUCCCGCAACGAGCGCAACCCUCGUGUUUAGUUGCUAACAGUUAGGCUGAGAACUCUAAACAGACUGCCUGGGUAACCAGGAGGAAGGUGAGGACGACGUCAAGUCAUCAUGGCCCUUAUGUCCAGGGCUACACACGUGCUACAAUGGGGUAUACAGAGAGCUGCGAUAUCGAGAGGUGGAGCCAAUCUCAUAAAGCGUCUCUCAGUUCGGAUAGAAGUCUGCAACUCGACUCCAUGAAGCUGGAAUCACUAGUAAUCGUAGAUCAGCAAUGCUACGGUGAAUACGUUCCCGGGUCUUGUACUCACCGCCCGUCACACCAUGGGAGUUGAUUUCACCCGAAAUUGGGAAGCUAACCUUCGGGAGGCUACCACUUACGGUGGAAUUAGCGACUGGGGUGAAGUCGUAACAAGGUAACCA